rnacentral:rRNA from 1 species
UACGAAGGGUGCUAGCGUUGUUCGGAAUUACUGGGCGUAAAGCGCGCGUAGGCGGCCAUUCAAGUCAGAGGUGAAAGCCCGGAGCUUAACUCCGGAACUGCCUUUGAAACUGUAUGGCUUGAGUGUCGGAGGGGAUAGCGGAAUUGCUAAUGUAGAGGUGAAAUUCGUAGAUAUUAGCAGGAACACCGGUGGCGAAGGCGGCUAUCUGGACGACAACUGACGCUGAGGCGCGAAAGCGUGGGGAGCAAACAGG